rnacentral:lncRNA from 1 species
CUGCCCCGGGGCCCCGGCUCUGCAAGCAAACAGGCCGAGCGCGGCGCUGCAUCCGAAAUGCGGCAUUUGAGCAGCGCGGCGAAGGCGAGCGGGGGAGCGGCCCACCCGGCCAAAUGCUGAGCUCCCUGAGGGCAGGGACCAAGCCUGUCCUGGAACUCCUUAUCUGCCCUGUAUGAUGAACCCCAAGGCCCUCUCACCCACCUCUGAAGACUGGUCAGACAAGUCCUCCUAAUGCCUAUUUCUGGUUGAGGAGAGGGUGAUCCAGGUCAUGUGUUUCUACGUUGACAGAGAUGUGUGGAAGCCAAGGUUCUGGGUCCUAGAAGCCUCUCUUUGUGCAUGGACUAUGAGAUCUCGUCAUACUCAGUAAUCACAUCAGGCAAAUUAUGAAGAUUCGGCCGGGCGCGGUAGCUCACACCUGUAAUCCCAGCAGUUUGGGAGGCUGAGGCAGGCAGAUCACUUGAGGUCAGGAGUUCGUGACCAGCCUGGCCAAUAUGGUGAAACCUUGUCUCCACCAAAAAUACAAGAAUUAGGCCAGGUGCGGUGGCUCACGCUUGUAAUCUCAGCACUUUGGGAGGCCGAGGCAGGCGGAUCACCUGAGGUCAGGUGUUUGGGACCAGCCUGGCCAACAUGGCGAAACCCCAUCUCUACUAAAAAUACAAAAAUUGGCUGGUCGUGGUGGUGGGUGCCUGUAAUCCCAGCUACUCGGGAGGCUGAGGCAGGAGAAUCACUUGAACCCAGG